CCGCCGCCGCCGCCAGCCGGCCCCGGCCGACGGCGGGAUCAGCGUCGCCCCCCGCGCCCCGCGGUGAAGGGCGUAUCCGGCUAGGGAACAACAGAAGGCCUGCUGUUUCUUUAUUAAAGAGGGAUUUGACCAGCAAUAUUAUGAAGUUUUCAUUUGACACUUUUGCUGUUGUUUGCUAAGCAUUUUUUUUUGGCUGAAGAAUGAAGGUUGGGUCCAGCAGUCACGAUGCCAACAUGCAUAUAUGUCUAAUUGUCUACAUUGCAAUUCAGAGGCUACUCCUAAAAGUCAGAUCUUUCAGAAUUUUUUAAAUAAAAGCCAGACCUUUCUAGAUCGCAGUGAAAAGAAAAAAAUGGAAAAAUAAAAGGAAUAAAAGAAAAUAGGCAGACAAGUUCAGGAGAAACUUACUGGCAGGAGCAUAUGUUUAUGUUCAGAGAAGCAAGAUCUUGGGUUGCUUUGCUCCGUGCUUACCGAAAAUCUGGUUGACUUUAUAGUGUUUCCGAAAGCAAUACUCUGCAUCUGGAGUAGCCAGGUGGCCAGGUGGGAUCGUCUGUGGAGAUGAUACGAUAAGCAGUUAUCUGUGGCAACAAAUUGCAAGGAGACAACGAUCAAUCAGCUGUCCCCUCCAUCUGCCCACACGUUGUACUGGACAAGCGUGAGGUGAGCGUGGAGCCGUGGACCAUGGAGGACCCGACCAAUACUACAAAAAUAACAACGACAGGUCAAGCAUGCAUAUCCCUUUCCCUUAGCUAUAUAUCGAUCUUGUGAUUCAUAUUGAAAGUUUAGUGGAUAUUCGGACUGUUUAUCGAUAAUGAUGAUGAUGACUUGAUCUCAAUGACCUUUCGAUUGUUCUGCACUUCAAGCAAGUACUGUACUUGAUUGGCUCUGUCUCUAAAUAAACAAAUAAUCCACGUAGAAAAAACUCGUGGUGUAGGAAAAU